rnacentral:rRNA from 1 species
AACGAACGCUGGCGGCAGGCUUAACACAUGCAAGUCGAGCGCGUAGCAAUACGAGCGGCAGACGGGUGAGUAACACGUGGGAAUCUACCCAUCCCUGCGGAACAACUCCGGGAAACUGGAGCUAAUACCGCAUACGCCCUACGGGGGAAAGAUUUAUCGGGGAUGGAUGAGCCCGCGUUGGAUUAGCUAGUUGGUGGGGUAAAGGCCUACCAAGGCGACGAUCCAUAGCUGGUCUGAGAGGAUGAUCAGCCACAUUGGGACUGAGACACGGCCCAAACUCCUACGGGAGGCAGCAGUGGGGAAUAUUGGACAAUGGGCGCAAGCCUGAUCCAGCCAUGCCGCGUGAGUGAUGAAGGCCUUAGGGUUGUAAAGCUCUUUCACCGAUGAAGAUAAUGACGGUAGUCGGAGAAGAAGCCCCGGCUAACUUCGUGCCAGCAGCCGCAGUAAUAC